rnacentral:rRNA from 1 species
UACAGAGGGGGCAAGCGUUGCUCGGAAUUACUGGGCGUAAAGGGCGCGUAGGCGGUCCUGAUCGUCGGAUGUGAAAGGCCUGGGCUCAACCUGGGAACUGCAUCCGAUACGGCGGGACUGGAGUGUGGGAGAGGUUGGUGGAAUUCCCAGUGUAGAGGUGAAAUUCGUAGAUAUUGGGAAGAACACCGGUGGCGAAGGCGGCCAACUGGACCACAACUGACGCUGAGGCGCGAAAGCGUGGGGAGCAAACAGG